rnacentral:rRNA from 1 species
GGUUAAGCGACUAAGCGUACACGGUGGAUGCCCUGGCAGUCAGAGGCGAUGAAGGACGUGCUAAUCUGCGAAAAGCGUCGGUAAGGUGAUAUGAACCGUUAUAACCGGCGAUGUCCGAAUGGGGAAACCCAGUGUGAUUCGUCACACUAUCGUUAACUGAAUACAUAGGUUAACGAGGCGAACCGGGGGAACUGAAACAUCUAAGUACCCCGAGGAAAAGAAAUCAACCGAGAUUCCCCCAGUAGCGGCGAGCGAACGGGGAGCAGCCCAGAGUCUGAAUCAGCUUGUGUGUUAGUGGAACGGUCUGGAAAGUCCGACGGUACAGGGUGAUAGUCCCGUACACCAAAAUGCACAGGCUGUGAACUCGAAGAGUAGGGCGGGACACGUGGUAUCCUGUCUGAAUAUGGGGGGACCAUCCUCCAAGGCUAAAUACUCCUGACUGACCGAUAG